GUACACUCCUACGGGAGGCAGCAGUGGGGAAUCUUGCGCAAUGGGCGAAAGCCUGACGCAGCCAUGCCGCGUGAAUGAUGAAGGUCUUAGGAUUGUAAAAUUCUUUCACCGGGGACGAUAAUGACGGUACCCGGAGAAGAAGCCCCGGCUAACUUCGUGCCAGCAGCCGCGGUAAUACGAAGGGGGCUAGCGUUGCUCGGAAUUACUGGGCGUAAAGGGAGCGUAGGCGGACAUUUAAGUCAGGGGUGAAAUCCCGGGGCUCAACCUCGGAAUUGCCUUUGAUACUGGGUGUCUUGAGUAUGAGAGAGGUGUGUGGAACUCCGAGUGUAGAGGUGAAAUUCGUAGAUAUUCGGAAGAACACCAGUGGCGAAGGCGACACACUGGCUCAUUACUGACGCUGAGGCUCGAAAGCGUGGGGAGCAAACAGGAUUAGAAACACUUGUAGUCCC
rnacentral:rRNA from 1 species